rnacentral:rRNA from 1 species
UAGGAUGAGACUAUAUAGUAUCAGCUAGUUGGUAAGGUAAUGGCUUACCAAGGCUAUGACGCUUAACUGGUCUGAGAGGAUGAUCAGUCACACUGGAACUGAGACACGGUCCAGACUCCUACGGGAGGCAGCAGUAGGGAAUAUUGCGCAAUGGGGGAAACCCUGACGCAGCAACGCCGCGUGGAGGAUGACACUUUUCGGAGCGUAAACUCCUUUUCUUAGGGAAGAAUUCUGACGGUACCUAAGGAAUAAGCACCGGCUAACUCCGUGCCAGCAGCCGCGGUAAUACGGAGGGUGCAAGCGUUACUCGGAAUCACUGGGCGUAAAGGGCGCGUAGGCGGAUUAUCAAGUCUCUUGUGAAAUCUAAUGGCUUAACCAUUAAACUGCUUGGGAAACUGAUAGUCUAGAGUGAGGGAGAGGCAGAUGGAAUUGGUGGUGUAGGGGUAAAAUCCGUAGAUAUCACCAAGAAUACCCAUUGCGAAGGCGAUCUGCUGGAACUCAACUGACGCUAAGGCGCGAAAGCGUGGGGAGCAAACAGGAUUAGAUACCCUGGUAGUCCACGCCCUAAACGAUGUACACUAGUUGUUGGGGUGCUAGUCAUCUCAGUAAUGCAGCUAACGCAUUAAGUGUACCGCCUGGGGAGUACGGUCGCAAGAUUAAAACUCAAAGGAAUAGACGGGGACCCGCACAAGCGGUGGAGCAUGUGGUUUAAUUCGAAGAUACGCGAAGAACCUUACCUGGGCUUGAUAUCCUAAGAACCUUUUAGAGAUAAGAGGGUGCUAGCUUGCUAGAACUUAGAGACAGGUGCUGCACGGCUGUCGUCAGCUCGUGUCGUGAGAUGUUGGGUUAAGUCCCGCAACGAGCGCAACCCACGUAUUUAGUUGCUAACGGUUCGGCCGAGCACUCUAAAUAGACUGCCUUCGUAAGGAGGAGGAAGGUGUGGACGACGUCAAGUCAUCAUGGCCCUUAUGCCCAGGGCGACACACGUGCUACAAUGGCAUAUACAAUGAGACGCAAUACCGCGAGGUGGAGCAAAUCUAUAAAAUAUGUCCCAGUUCGGAUUGUUCUCUGCAACUCGAGAGCAUGAAGCCGGAAUCGCUAGUAAUCGUAGAUCAGCCAUGCUACGGUGAAUACGUUCCCGGGUCUUGUACUCACCGCCCGUCACACCAUGGGAGUUGAUUUCACUCGAAGCCGGAAUACUAAACUAGUUACCGUCCACAGUGGAAUCAGCGACUGGGGUGAAGUCGUAACAAGGUAACCGUAGGAGAACCUGCGGUUGGAUCACCUCCUUUCUA